ACGUAAGGGGCGAGCGUUGUUCGGAAUUAUUGGGUGUAAAGGGCGCGUAGGCGGUCUGGCAAGUCUGGUGUUGAAGGCUAGGGCUUAACUGUAGUUUGGCGCUGGAAACUGCUGGGCUUGAGUUUGGGAGGGGGAGCUAGAAUUCCAGGUGUAGCGGUGAAAUGCGUAGAUAUCAGGAGGAACACCGGUGGCGAAGGCGACCCCCUGGCAAAAUACUGACGCUGAGGCGCGAAAGCGUGGGGAGCGAACAG
rnacentral:rRNA from 1 species